rnacentral:rRNA from 1 species
GAUAAUUUAAAAAUUAAUCUCAAGAACUAAAGCCAAAUGGCUAAAACUUAAAGAUCAUGGCGGCUAGUUUUAUUCAGGGGAACUUACCUACUAAACGAUAACCCACGAGUUAAUUAUCUUUACUUAAAAGUUUGUAUACCGCCGUUUAGUAUUGAAUUAAGUUUAAUACCAAAUCUUAAAGAGAACCACAGGUUAAGGUGCAGCCUAUAGUAAAGAAUUGGCGAGUUACAAUAAGUAUUUUUUUCGGAAAUAUAAUUUAAUAGAUAUAGAAGAUGGACUUGAUAGUAAAUUUUAAUUGAAAUAUAAAUUGAAAUCCAAAAUAUUAGUGC